UCUAGCUUCCCGGCUGCUUUGUUUACCCAAGCAAGCCUGGGCAAUGGCGGGCGCCCCUCCCCCAGCCUUGCUGCGGCCUUGCAGUUUGAUCUCAGACUGCUGUGCUAGCAAUCAGCGAGACUCCGUGGGCGUAGGACCCUCCUAGCCAGGUGCAAGAUAUAAUCUCGCGGUGCGCCGUUUUUUAAGCCGGUCCGAAAGCGCAAUAUUCGGGUGGGAGAGACCCGAUUUUCCAGUGAGAUGAACCCAGUACCUCAGAUGGAAAUGCAGAAAUCACCCGUCUUCUGCGUCGCUCACGCUGGGAGCUGUAGACCGGAGCUGUUGCUAUUCGGCCAUCUUGGCUCCUCUCCUGCACUGCAAGAAUGGACUAAUACGCUAUGUGAAGACAAAGGGGAUGUCUGCAAGCCAGGACGAGUGCGUCUACCAGAAACUGAGUUCUGCUGGACUUUGAUCUAGGACAUCCAGCCUCCAGAAUGGAAUGUGCCAUAUGUGGAGACCUGCAUGGAAAGGAACUGAGGAUGCUCUCUCACUAAAAGCUAGAAGGAACUGAGGCCCUCAGUCAACAGUCUACAAGACACUGAAUCUUGCCAGCAGCCAAGCAGUGAGCUUGAAAGCAGAUCUAUCAUCAGCUGAACCUUCAGAUGAGACCGCAGCCUAAGCAGAUACCUUGGUUGCAGCCAUGUGAGACAACCUGAAACAGAGGGCACAGCUAAGCCUCAGCCAGGUUCAUGACCCUCUGAGGAAACUGUGAGAAAGCAAAUGUCAUUUUAAGCUAUUUAAUUUUGGAGGUAGUUUAUUACACAACAAUAAAUAACUAUUAUAAUUAUCUUGAGGAUUUAUUUCCUGGGGAGAAUACAUGGAAUUGCAUAUAUAGGUCCUCAUAUGCAGAAUACUGGUACCCUAGAGAUGUUCACCCCAGAGAUGUUUUAGGAACCUGUGAAUAUGUUACAUUAAAUGGCAAAGUUUUCCUGGAUGGUUUAAGUUUAAGAUGGAAAAGUUUUACUGGAUUAUCCAGUGGGUCCAAUCUAGUAACAUGAGUCCUUAAAAAUGGAGAAUAUUUUUUGGCCAUGAUCAGAGAGACAUGUGAUGAUGGAAAAAGUGUCAGAGAUGCAAUGUGAGGGGACUAAAACUGCUGUUGCUGACUUUAAAGAUGGAGAGAGGGGAACCCGAGUCAAGGAAUGCAAAUGGCCUCUGGAAGCUGGAAAAAGCAAGAAAUGGAUUCUCCUUUAGAGCCUGUGGAAUAAAAUGCAGUCAUGCUGACACCUUGAUUUUACCUCAGUGAGACCAAUACUGGAGUAUGACCUUCGGAGCUGAAUAAAAUUAUACGUACACAUCUUAAUUUCUUGGGAUUUGAUUACUUCUUCUGCUUUGAAAUUAGACCAAGUUUAGCCUGCCUUUGCUAUUUUGGCGUAUCUCCAAUUCUUCAUGAUUUUCUCAUCGCAAAGGCCACAUAAGGACAGUGAGAAGGCAGCCACCUGCAAGCCAGGAAGAAAGGUCUCACCAGAUACCAACCCUGCCAGCAUGUUGAUCUUGGACUUCCAGCCUCCAAAACUGGCCUUCUGCUCACAUGGGCUUCCGUGCACCUGCUUCAGGAGACAGCAACACUUGCGCCCGCACCGCGGCAGGCUCCCAUCACCUGGUGGAUAUGCCGCGCCGAGUCUCAUCACACCUUAGUGAAGGAACACAUGGACCCAUAUGUUAGCGGAUGUAUUUACAUCGUUUUAUACAGAAAGGGGAAGAAAACUGCAUACCUCAGAAAGGGGUUGCUCCUCACUCUGAGUACUAGACUAAAGAUAAAAAGACUAGAUAAAAGUACUAGACUAAAGACAGAGCUGACCCAUGACAGGAAACCAAUACAGAGUUUUGUACUGGAAAGUGAGGUGCUGCUGUAACAAGUACCUGAGAAUGUGGGAGUGGCUUUGGAAUUCAGAAUUGGGUGCUUCUGGUGAAAACUCACAUGGAAAUGAGGAACAUGUUAUUGGAAACUGGAAGGUGAUUAUUGUUAGAAAGCCACAUAAACUUGCUGAAUUUUGUUUUGUUGGGUGGAAAUGCUGUGGACAUUAAUAUAAAAAAGUACUUAAAAGUGUUAUAGUUACUUUUUGUUCCUAACCAACCGGUGAAUCUCGUAGUCAUGGGUCCAGUCCUGUAUCUCUUUCACUGUGAGGUGGCUCCUUUGUCAGAUGCUAUGCUGUCUGAUACUCCAUGCUUGUGAAUCAGACAUCCCCUGUGUCCCCAGAUUGUGGUACUGGCUAAAUCUCUGUAAGCAGGGAAACCAACCCAUAGAGUAGCUUGCCAUCUAGGAUGGAAGAGACUCAACAUGGCCAACUUGCUAUGAAAUGGCUGGAUGCGUUGGACAUUCAGACUCAACAGAAGUUUAACCAGCCUUGGUAAGAGAACAUCCAUGCUGUUUGGCCUGUGCAUGGAUUUCUACAUUUCUGCCUCUGUGGCUUCUCCAUUUAUGUGUUCAUCACACCGGUUUUGGGGUGGCUAAUGAUGAAGCUGGCUUAUGUCAACUUGCUGACUCAUUGUGUCUACUUCAUUCUUCAGUGUCUUUCCCAUGGUAGGUGCUUUCUCAUGUACGUUCAUGUGUAAAACAAAACUUUUGUUACUUCAUGUUCUCUCACUUCCCCUAUGGCUCUCUGUCCAUCCACAUGCCCCUAUUCCAGAUUGCCAUGUCUCUAAUCUUGCAGGCUUUUACAUCCAGGUGUCUACAAUCUGGCCAGGUAAUUAACUAAUAACUGUUGCCCAAGAAACUCUGAAUAUUGUCACUCCAGGCUACUUUUCCUUCCACAUAUUAUGGAUGAAGAGGUUCACUGCGCAUAGCUUAGUGAUGAUCUUCUCUUUGUGGUGUCUUUUGAGUCCACUCCUGGAUUUGACUGUUAUGUAGCUACACAUUUCCCCAGUAAAUUUUUUUGUGCAUGGAAUCCCAUUUUGUGGUCUGCUUCUCUGAGGCUCUAAAAGGAAAACCAGGUGACAUCCAGAGUGGUCUGAGAAAACAGAGAUUUGGGGACUGGCUCACUCAUUAACUGGCUGGCAAUGAGGACGCCAUCCUGAGUGGAAUGUGGGGGACAGAUAGUUCCUGGCACAAGACAUCCAUCUUCAAUAGAGAAUUAAAUGCCGUAAGUUUGAUGAUUUCACCAUUAUGGACCUAGGAACAAACCCUAGUCAAAGGGAAUCCCCAGGUCACAGUAGGUCUGGUUUCUGGUGUUUCAAUAUUGUCACCACAAGUCAUAGGGACUCCAUCAUGCCCCGGGUUACUAAGGAGCCCAGCUUUGAGAUUUCUUUUCUACCGGUCAGCCCCGGCCUACAGAGGAGUGAUGUUGGUACCCCUCUCACUAAUGAAUUAUUGAUGGCCUUGGAAAAUGGUAGCAGAUUCAGCUGUAGUGCAAGCAACCCUGCUGCUUUUGCAGACCCUAUGUUACUGGGAGUAUCAGUGGUGGAAAAAGAUGUUGUAUGGAAUUUAUUAUGGUAAGCCCCAUUGACAGAAUCACAGCAGAGCCCUGUGUGGUUCUGGAGCAAGGCUAUGCCAUCUGCAAUGGAGAAUGAUAUGUCUUUUGAAAAAGAGUUCCUUGUGUGUUACUGGGCCCUAGCAGAGACAUAAGGCUUGUCUCUGAGGCACCAAAAGAACAUGCCUCUGGAACUACCCAUUAUGGGCUUAAUUAUGUCAGAGCCACCAAUUUUUAAAGUUAAAUUAGGCCAGAGGUAGCCUACUGUAAAGUUAGAAUUAUACAUGUGGAUUUGAUCUAAAGUGUGUGCAUGAUAAAGGGAAAGUGAACAGGGGCCUUCAGAUCACUACAUGGAUUUGAAAGCUGUAGGAAGAGAAAGGAAAGGAAGGAGGAUAAAUGGGAAAAGCCUCACACCACAGUACAAUUAUGAGAAAAUGUUGGCUAGGCUGAUGGGAAGUCCCUAAACAAAGAUUGCCUGUUAGAGGCAUGUCUCAUGUCAAGUGGUAAUGACCUGGCUCUAGUAUCCAUGCUGCACUCAGUCAUUGGCUGGGAGCAACUUGGCAAAAGAUUGGCCUCACUAUGAACACUUUGCUGGAUCCAGAGUGCUUUGUCUGGAUGCUGCCAGUCAGCCAUGCUUCUCGGAGAAAGUCUUUUUGAACAGGAAUCUGAGUGGCACAUGUGUCAGCACAUUUACUAAGUUGUAGAGCCAUAUUUUCUCUUUUUUCUCUUUAUCGAAGUUAUCCUGCACCCUCCCUAUGUAGUGUCCUAACGUAUUAUGUUCUCCUGCCUGGAAAACUCUUUCCCUUGUGCCUUUUACCCAACUGAAUCUUCAGAUUGUAGCUCAAAUAUCACUUCUCCAGGGAAACUUUCUUUGAAUCUCCAAAAGGAUUAGAUUCUUUACUGCAUGAUUUCAUAACUCUCUAUAUUUUUUAUCCAUGAUGCUUAUCAAAGCUAAUUACACAUUAGUAAAAUGAUGGUAUUUAUAACCUUACUAGGUUGUGAGCUCUGUGACAUCAUAGUCUUCUCUGUCCUGUAUUCCCAACACCUGUCACAAUGCUUGUCAUAUAGAAUGCAUUCAAUGAGUGUUUGUUGAAUGAAUAAAUGGCUCACUUUAUUAAUUUCAACCAGCUUUUAAAAUAACUGAGAAACUCUUAGAGCAUUAGGCUCAUAAAUAUGGACAUGAAAUAUCAUCAUCCUAUAUAUAGAUGAAAGUACAGAACAUUCAAGGAAUUGAUGCCAGGAAAUUAUACUUUAUUAAAUAUGAUUUUUUGGCUCUUUUUUCUGAACAUGGUGUCUAACAAUCAGAAAAAUAUUGAUAUUUGGAGAAUUUUGCAUAUUUGGCUUCCAGGUCUUCAAGAAAUUAUAAAUGGACAUUUAAUUAAAUCAAAUCCUAAUAGUUAAAAAUAAUGAUAUUAUUAUAAUUUAAUUACUCCUUACUAUGUACUGUAUAUUAUAGUAAGUCUUCUAUAUGUGUUAUUUGACUACUUAUUCUCAAUAUGAUAUGCUAGGUGAGGAUAUUAGCACUUAAAUGGGGUUAUAUAUUUAUUCAAGGUCUCAGACAUUGCAUCUUAUGCAUUUAGGUUUAGAUACAUCACAUCCAUCUAACACCAGUGACCAUGGCUUUGUUCACAAUCUGCUUAUAUUUUGAAUUUCUUGCCAAAAUACCGCAAAUUUUUAUUUCUUUCUGGGAGGCUAUCUAAAGAAUGAGAACUUUGGAAUCUUAUCUAGUUUCAGCCUUGACUUAGGUUCACCUUAUCUGGUCAAAUCUUCCUUAUGAGCACCAGACAGCACUAACCACCACCCUUUCUCUCCCAACACCCUUUCUCGCACCAAUUUCUGAAUAAUAUUGAAUUUCUCCAUCUGGAUAUCUUAUUUACUCCUCAAUCAUAAUAUGUCCAAGGCUAAACUCAGCACCUGAAUUAUUAAAUCACUCCUUUCCCUUGGUUCUCUUUUUCAAUGAAUAGCAUCACCACUUUCCCAAGCAUUCAGGUUUGAAAUUUCAGAGCUACUCACUCCUUCUUCACAAAAAUACAUAUUGUGAGUUCCUUUGAGAGGGGGACCUUGUUCUAUUACCUCUAUUCUUUUAGUAUGCUGUACAACAUCUGGCAUGGAAUAGUUGCUCAAGAAGUAAUUGUAGAAUGUUUCCUCAUCUUUUGUCUCAGGCAUCCAUUGGAGAUAAAACAGUGUUAAAUGCAACAGAGUUUUCCAGUGAGGACUAAAUUCUGUAAACUACAGUGCUUUUAAACUAGAUCAAUAGUUGUCUCAGUGAAUUCUUUGAAAAUAUUAUGAAAAGUUUGUUUGUGUGGGUAUAUACAGUCAUUUUUGUAGGAAAGGGCACAUGCUUCAGGAGUCAAAGAAUCAGCUAAGAAUUUUGCAUCAUGAAGAUCAUCAAUGAAUGGCCUCUUCACAAGUAGUUUCAGUGAGUGGGAGAGGCAGAAUAAGAUUUCAGAAUGUAAAAUGAAUGAGAAAUAAGAAAGUAGGGACACAAAGAAAGUAAGCUUUAAAGAGAAGAAAAACAAUACAGGUGGAUACAAGAUUAAAAGGAGAUUUUAUUUCCAGACUGGAGAAAUUUGGACUGGAGAGGGAAUAUAAAAGCUAUAAUCAUUGAACAUGUACUAUAUUUUGAUUGCUGAAUCAUGUACUUUACACAAAGUAGGUAUUAUUGAUUACUGACUGGGUCAGAUCUGGAAGAUAAUAGAGUUAGGAGAGAGGGAUAUGAAAACAGUGAAAGAGUUGGCCUUGUGUAGGAUGAGAGGCACCUAAUUUUCUUAAACUUGAAAGGAGGAAAAUAUGGGUCCAGAAGUAAAUGAGGGGAUGAAGAGGCUACAGUUGGUCCAUGCUGUAACCUCCAUUUUUCUUUACCAAGUAAAAGGCAAAGCAGUCUGACAAAAAUGAGAUGGUGCAGUUGGGCAUUGACAUCUAUGAAAGUGGGGAAGAUUUUGAAAAAUUACUGAGAGGCUUUUCUUACUCAUUUAAUAAAUAUUUGUAAAACACCUAUCAUGUAGGUACUAAGAAAACAUAGUCCCCAUUCUCUAGGAACUUGCCACAUUUAAUAAAUUAUAAGUUUCCAAAGGGUAUGGAGCAUGUUAUAACUAUUUGCAUAUAUCCCCAAUAGUUCAUAGCCUUGUGUUUCCAGCACAGUAGGUAAACAUUAGAGUUUAAAUUCAACUGAAUUAAAUCCACAAGAACUCUUUAUUUUGAGUAAAGCCUGAGGCUCUUGGGGUCACAGAUUAUUUUUGUGGAAGUCCUCUACAAUCAAACAACAGAGGUCUGCCAGUUGGGAAUACAUCUUGCAAUUAUUAGUAACUGAAAAAUGCAUUUAGAACAGUGAUUCUGAACCUCAGCACGACUGACGUUUUGGAUUAGGCAAUUCUUUGUUUGGGGAGCUGUUGUGCGCAUUGUAGGAUUUUUAGCAGUAUCUUUGGCUUCUGCUGACUAUCUGCCAGUGGCACUUCUCCCCUCAAAAAACCCCUACCCAAUUGUGACAAAAAUAUCUCCAGACAUUAAUGAAUGUCCCCUGGGGGGCAAAAUAGCUCCAGAUUGAGCAGCUUUGAUCUAGAAUUUUGAUGAUUAAUUUAUAUAAAAAUAGCUUUGUGUAACAAACAUUGAAAUUCAGAAAAUGUGAUUAUUAGGUAGUGAUUAGCAAAGCUGGGAUGCUCUUUCCUUAUCAACUGACUGGUGUUUGAACAAUUCCUACUUCUCCAGCUGGGGGAAGUCAGAGGACCUUCAAGUAAUGUUCGUUCUCUCUCCUCUUAACAGCUCUGAAUGGGAGGUUACCCAUAUUUCUCUGAUCUUUGUCUUCCUUCCUUUAGGAUUAGAUGCAGUGGAUUGUCCUCCCUGUUGCUGAUACUUUUAGUGAUUGCACAUGUGUUCAUGUAACAUUGCACAAUGUAAUGCAGUGAAAUAAAUGUGGGACUUAGAACCAAAGGUCUUGGGUAUCAAACCAGCUUGGUUAUAUACCUUUGGGCAAAUCAAUUAUUUUGUUCUCUCAUUAUUAUAGGGAUGUCUUGAUACUGAUAAAUGAAGGAUAGAGCUUUAUAUAAGUACAGAGGAAUAUUAAUUUCUUCCCCUAUACUUAUAUUUAAGAUGAUCCCUUUUUUGGAGGUAAUGGAUCAGGGGGACAACUUGAAGAGAGAACUAUAAGUAUUUGACAAUGUUCUUACAUGUUAGGAAGACAGGAAGCCAAAAUGUUGCCAAAAUUUUAACUGUUAAUGAAUGCAAUAGUGAUGGAGUAAUGAUGUCAUACAUGGAAAUCAUAGGAAAUCAUUUUUUUAAAAAAAUUGAGAUAUAACUUAAAUGCCAAAAAACUCACUGUAAAAUUCAGUGGUUGUUAAUUUAGUCACAGAGCUGUGAAUCUAUUUAGACUAUUUUCAUUAUCCUCAAAAUAAAUCUCAUACUUAUUAGAAGUCAUUUCCCAUACCCUCCUUCCUUUAUCCCUUGGCAACCAAUAAUCUAUUUCUGUCUCUACGGAUUAGUAUAUUCUGGAAAUUUAGUAUAAGUGGAAUAAUAUAACUUGUGUCUAGCUUCUUUUACUUAGCAUGAUUUUUUCAAGGUUCAUGCACAUUAUACCGUGUAUCAGUAUGUCAUUCCUUUUCAUGGCUGAAUAUUAUCUUAGUGUAUGAAUAUACCACAUUUUGUUUAUCUACUCAUUAGUCGGUGAACAUUUGGUUUGUUUCCACCUUUUGGCUAUUCCAAAUAAUAAUGUUAUGAAUUUGUGUGGACAUAUGCUUUCAUUUCUUCUAGGUGUAUAUCUAGAAGUGUAAUUGCUGGAUCAUAUGGUUACUAUAUGUUUAACAUUUUGGGGAACUGCCAAACUAUUUUCCAAAGUGGCACAAAGGAGAAUAUAGGAAAAAAUGUAGUUGAAAGGUAAAUUGAUUUUAUUAAUGUUGAAUUUGGAGUGUUUACAAGACAUAAAGAAGGGUAUUUUCAGAAGAUUGAUAGCUAUAUGGGUCUUAUGCUUAGGGGAAUAGUAUGAGUUUGAGAAACAGGUCUUGGCAUCGUCAACAUGUACAAUUAAAGAUGUGAGAAACCAACAGCUCACCCAAAGAAAGUAGACAUUACCACAAGGAAGACUUACAUAUCUAAGGUCAAUUCAGAUAGCAUGCAUACACUGUGUGAUGGAGGGCAGGAAAGGUGGAGAUUAAUUAGGACUUGGCAGGCAAUUGAUCAGAAUUUUUUUUCCCAUAGCAAGAAGAUUUGCUUCGUGGGAGGAUUUCACUGGGCAGAGCUGGACAUACAGAGAGCAGAGAAGGACAUUCCCACAUAGAAUCUUAAAUCUUGAAUGCUAGGGAAGAGCCUACUAAGCGGAAAAGUGUGGGAAAGGCUUCCAAACAUGGGAAAUGGCAUAUAUAAAGGCAUAGUUGUUCAAAAUGUCUUCAUUUGAACUUCAGGAUAAUUAAACAAUUAGCAUCCAUUUGUUUGUCAGUCUGUGCCAGCAUUUUAUUAGGUGCUGCACACAAAUUAUCUCAUUUAAACCUUACAACAAUCUUCAUUCUAGAGAUGAGGAAACAGACACAAAGAUGUUAUAUUAACUAGCUAUCAAAGAUGACAUAGCUGGAAAAUGGUAAAGUCUUGGUAAAACCCAGGGAGUUUGAGACUAGAGCCUGCACCUGACAUGUGAAGCAACUCAUCGAAAUAAUUUUAAGUAUUAAAGACCAUUAGUCAGCACCAGUGGUGUGCUCCUGGUAGCUGAUAAGGCGCUCCCAAUCUUGGUACCACUUGAUGAUCUAGUGGCUUACUUGAUAUGUUUUUCAUUGUUCUUUUUCUUUUCUUUUCUUUUCUUUUCUUAGAUGGAGUCUUGCUCUGUCACACAUGCUAGAGUCCAGUGGUAUGACCUCAGCUCACUGCAAUCUCUGCCUCCCGGGUUCAAAUGAUUCUUCUGCCUUGACCUCCCUGGCAGCUGGGACUACAGGCCUGCACCACCACGCCUGGCAAAUUUUUUAAUUUUUUUUAGUAGAGAUGGGGUUUCACCAUGUUGGCCAGGCUAGUCUCGAACUCCUGACCUCAAAUGAUCUGCCCGCUUUGGCCUUCCAAAGUUCUGGGAUUAUAGGAGUGAGCCACCAUGCCCAGCCUGUUCUUAAGUCUCCUAGAACAGGGAUUCUGAAACACAAAACUCAUCUGGUGAGAAGAAUGAGAGCAAGAGAGGUUAAAUGGGUCGUUCAAGUUCAUAAAGUACUGACAGAAGAUGACCCUGAACUGUUCUCACUAUAUUAAAAGUCAGACAAGUAUUAUUAUUAUUAUUACUAAUAUAAGUAGCUCCAAUUUAUGUGAUUCUCAUGAUUUGGAGGACCUUACCUAUAUUAGCUUAUUUAAUCUACACAGCAAACCUAGAUGGUAAAUAUUUUCAUUGCCAUUUUACAGAGGAGGAACUGAGGUUCCUGAGGGUUAGGAAACUUGUAACAUGAACUCCAUACAGAUAUACAGAAUGAUAUAAACAAAUAAACAAAUACAUAAAUGUGGAAGAAGUAAAAGCUCUUCCUUGGAGUAAAAGGCCACCUAAUAAAUGAGGCAGGAAUGAUAAAAUUAGAGAAAUCAUUUGCAAACAUCACAGUAUUAAUUGCUUAAAGGAAGAAUUAUAAAUAGAUAAUAAAGCUAGUGGGUGAAACAUUAAUGGGACUAAGAUAUUUAUCUAGCCCCAAAAGUUUUGCUCCAUAAAAAUACUUACUUAGGCUGGGCAUGGUGGUGCACACCUGUAAUUCUAGCACUUUGGGAGGCCGAGGUGGAAGGAUUACUUGAGCUUAAGAGUUCAAUGGCAGCCUGGACAACAUAGUGAGACCGCAUCUCUAAAAAAAAAAUUAGCCAGGUGUGGUAGUGCGUGUAUGUAUUCUCAGCUACUCAGGAGGCUGAGGUAGAAGGGAUCGCUUGAGCCCCAAGUUGAGGCCACAGUGAGCUGAGAUUGCACCACUGCACUCCAGCCUGGGUUACAGAGAGUGAUCCUGUCUCAACAAUAAAAUAAAAUAAAAUGAAAAAAAUAUUUAUUACAAAUGAAAAAAAUGACAUGUUUACACUGGAGAGGCCUACAGGCAUCAUCUUAACCAAUGAUCAAAGUUAAUAUCUACACGAAUAGGACAAAUAAUAUCAUUUCCCUCCUGACCUCAUGCAUGUUUAAAACACAACAUAACUUCUUGGUUAUUUCUGUCAAGAGUGCAUAACCUGAAACUAAUCAUAAGAAACCACCAGAUGACCCCACGAUGAGAGGUAUACUAAAAAAUAACUAAGCUAUUAUUUUAUUUUAUUUAUUUUUUGAGACAGAGUCUUGCUCUGUUGCCCAGGCUGGAGUGCAGUGGCGCAAUCUCAGCUCACUGCAACCUCAGCCUCCUGGGUUCAAGAGAUUCUCCUGCCUCAGCCUCCCAAGUAGCUGGGAUUACAGGCUUCUUUUUGUAUUUUUAGUAGAGAGGGGGUUUCACCAUGUUGGCCAGGCUGGUCUCAAACUCCUGACCUCAGGUGGUCCACCCACCUCGGCCUCCCAGUUUUGGGAUUAUAUGCGUGAGCCACUGCACUCAGCCACCAGACUUUUUUUUUUUUCUUUUUACUUUUUUUGAGACAGCAUCUCCCUCUGUCGCCCAGGCUGGAGUGCAAUGGCACAAUCUUGGCUCACUGCGACCUCCGCCUCCCAGGUUCAAGUGAUUCUCCUGUCUCAGCCUCCUGAGUAGCUGGAACUACAGGCGCCCGCCACCACGCCCGGCCAGUUUUUGUGUUUUUAGUGGAUAUGGGGGUUUCACCAUGUCGGUCAGGCUGGUCUCGAACUCCUCACCUCAGGUGAUCUGCCCGACUCAGCCUCCCAAAGUGCUGGGAUUAUAGAUGUGAGCCAUCGUGCCUGGCCUAUUUUGAAAGCAACAUAUAAUCCAACUUUUUCUUUUGUUAUAAAGAGCAAUAUAGGAACAAGGAGUGAAACACCAAGGCAAUUUGACAGUUAAAUGGUAGAAGUAGAUCAGUGUUAAUUUCCUGAUUUUGUAAUUAUACUGUGGUUAUGUAACAGAAUGUUCUUGUUUUAGAAAGUACACAUUGAAUAAUCAAUGGUCAUCUUGUCUGUAACUUAAUUUCAAAUGUUUCAAUAAAAAUAUGUGUAUGUUUGUGAGUGAUAAAACAAAU
rnacentral:lncRNA from 10 species